rnacentral:snRNA from 1 species
AUGCUCACUUUGGCAGCACAUAUACUAAAAUUGGAACGAUACAGAAGAUUACCAUGGUCCCUGUGCAAGGACAACAUAUUUUUAUUUUGCAAAAAUGG